AUACUAACCUUGCGUAGGGUAUACCGUGAUCAAGAAGGCGGUUGCCUCAGGCUGGUGCCGGCCAUUGCACUGCGGCAGGACUAGGCCAGUCUGUGACUAUUCCGUAUUGGGGUACGUCGUACGCAUAAUUUUUGCUAGUCGGGACUUGCGUACUGCGCGGUCCCUUG